UACAGAGGUCCCAAGCGUUGUUCGGAUUCACUGGGCGUAAAGGGUGCGUAGGCGGUUGGGUAAGUCUGUCGUGAAAUCUCCGAGCCUAACUCGGAAACUGCGUCGGAUACUAUUCAACUCGAGGAAUGGAGGGGAGACUGGAAUUCUCGGUGUAGCAGUGAAAUGCGUAGAUAUCGAGAGGAACACCAGUGGCGAAGGCGGCUCACUGGCCCGUUACCGACGCUCAGGCGCGACAGCGUGGGGAGCAAACAGG
rnacentral:rRNA from 1 species